GGCCCCUUUUGAAUUUUUGGUCAACCCGAAACUCUUUUUGUUUUGCUCUCCCAAAUUUCCGGUCGCCCAAAUUUCCUGCUAUCAAGUAAAUCGAUCCAAGCCCUCUAAUUUCCAGCGACGGCCCAUGGCGUCUCCAAGCGGGAUUUCCCUCAAGCACGUCGAAUCCAACGUCAUGAGAAACGCGAGGAACCAAACGCUCCUCAACGACUCUUUUCUCUCUUCAGUGGUGCAACUCUCUCACCAACUGUAUCUCUGCGAAUUUGUCCUGGCAGCAGAAGCGUUUUCAUCCUCAUAGGCGUGAGAUGAUGCCACAUCAAGAAAGAAGGAAGAAUCGUCGAUCCCGACCGUCCACUUUGUUGUCCUCAGCCGGAUUUACAGGGAUAAGGACGAAUUUCAUACAGGGGCAACUCUUUGUUUUCUUUAAGGAAGAAUGACUUCAAAAUUUUAAAAGAAAGAGGUGAGUAUCAGUUUUUACCCUCCAUUUUCUAAUCCUCUUCGAAUUUCGAAAACCCCAAUGUCCCCUAUAAAUAUCUUCCUUCCUUCAUUUGUUUGGGAUUGGUGAUUUUAGACGGAGAUAAAUUUUUAGAGGAGCUUUGGAGAUUUUUUCUUAGCAGCCGCAACUCAUAUAUAAAGAUAUACCUUAAACAAAAAAAAGUUUUUUUUUAGCAAGAAUGUUUUACUUCUGAUCGAAGGUUUUUUUUUUGGUAAAAAGUUCAUGUGUCAGAGAAAUAUAUAGAGCUAACCAAGUGUAGAACAAUAGAGUCGAGUUUAUUUCGGGUUCGUUUCUUUGGAAUUGAGGUUGUUGUCCGUUCCUGCCCCGUCUAACUCUCGGUUUCGCUGCUCGGGAAGAGGUAAACCCUACACUAGUUUGUUUAUGUCGUAACUCCCUUUGUUGUUGUUUUAUUUGCUGUUCAAUCGUUCUCUGUUUCUUGUGUUCAUAAGCCGAGCUUUGUUUAGAUAUUUGAGUAGUGGUUCCUAUCUCUAUUGUUUCUUUUCGUUCAUGUUUCAUUUUAAAUGACCUGGCCUUCUUGAUGUUUCAUUCUGUAUUCCGUCAACCUCGUUAUGUGGUUGUGAUGCGUUUAGUUUCUGUCUUUGACAAAAGGAGUAAUCAUGUCUCCAUUAUGUGUUUUAGAAACUAAGUGCUUGGGAUACUGUUCAUAUGGCCUUUCUGGCAAAUAUAGGCUGAUUAUUGUUUUAAAUAUAUCUCUCUUUAGAUUAGGAAUGGAUUAAGGAGUAUAUUUUUUUUCUCUUUUCUUAUUUUAUUAAGAGCAAUUGCAGUCUGUUUUUUUCCCUUCCUUUCUUAUAUGUAUGUAUCUGUUCAUGAUGUUCAUAGAACAUUCGGAAGGUGUUGAUCAAUUCCCUUAAAGAUCAAGUGCUUCCAAGGUCAAUAGAUGACACUUAAGUUUCAUAUUUCUUGUAUGCUUUAUCAUGAACAGAAAGUAGUAAUUUAGAUAACUUAGUAUUUUAUUUAUUUUAAGUAGAGCUUUAAAAGUUGUAUGCUCCCUUAAUUUGUUUACAGAGAUUGUAGUUUACUUUUUACAUAUUCACAGUAUUAUAAGUUUUAGGCUGGUAAAAAAUGUUUGUAUGUCUCACUCAUCUGGAACAAGUCCUACAAGCCUGCCAUUUUUACUUCUUUAUUUGUGUUUCUACCUUUUUAUUUUUGUUUAUUUAUUGUCUUAUUUCACUUAUAUUCUUCGGCUAAUAUAGUCAUUUUAUGUUGUGUAUGUGAAACUCCCUCUGAGCCCAUUUGGGUUCCAUUUCCAUGUUGGGCUAUUGCCCAAGUUCCAGCCAAAGGCCCAUGGCCUAAUCCUACUUUGAAAAGGAUUGAAAUUAUUCUCUUUAUUUGGUUUUCAAUUCUAUGAGGAAAAGGAUUGGAAUAGUAAUUCUAUUUGUAGUUGGUUUUGACUUUGUAAGGAAAAACACAACUCUAUAAAUAGAGGAUUGUAUUGAGAGAAUAAUUAAUUGUUCAAUUGUAUUGUCUUUGAAAGACACUAGAACAUAAGAGAGGUUUUUGAGAGAACUUUCAACAAGAGAAAAAGAGAGAAAGAAAAGGGUUCUUUUGUUGCAGUCUUUUCUCCGACUAGUCACGUUCAGAUUGUGUUUCCCGAUUAACUAACCGUUGGAUCGGGCUGAAAUUUGGAUUGAGUGUCAAAAAACAUCUUGGUGGUUGAUUUGAACGGUGGAGAUCGGAUUCGUAGGUUAGAAAGAUCCUGUUUUAGGUCCUGAACAGAAGCUGGGUUUGGGUGGUGUUUCUUUCUAUUUAUAUUUUGUUGGCGUAGCUAUUGUUUGUUCUCUUUUGGCACUUGUUGUGUAGCCACUAGAAGAAUAUUUGUAACCCUCUUAUUAUUAUAGUGAAGCAAUUCGGAUCUUGUUGAUUCCGUGGUAUUUACCUUUAGUUUGAAGGGGUUUUCCACGUUAAACUUGAUGUUCUUUGUUGUUAGAUUUUUGGUUUCAUUUUUUCGUCACAACAACUGGUAUCAGAUCUAAGGUUAUCUAUAUGGAGGGGAAUAUGAGCAAAAUGGUAUGUCUAAAUGGAAGAAACUACAAUUUAUGGAAAAGCUCGUGAAGAAGAUGCAUCUUUCGGUUUUUUCUGCUCAUAAACCCGAGAAUGUGACCGAUGGAAAUUGGGAAUUUGAGUACCAACAAGUAUGUGGAUAUAUAAGACAGUGGGUUGAAGAUAAUGUUCGCAACCAUAUUGUGAAUGAGACACAUGCUAGAACAUUGUGGGAAAAAGUUGGAGACGCUUUACGCUUAAAAAACUGACAAUAACAAGUUGUUCUUGUUAAAGCAAUUGAUGACCUUUAAAUACAAGGAGGGAAAUCCUAUUCUUGAUCAUAUAAAUGAUUUUCAGGGUAUUCUUGAUCAGCUAUCAGGAAUGGGUGUUAAUUUUGAUGAUGAAAUACAAGGACUUUGACUUCUUAAUUCUUUAACAAAUUCUGCCACUGGUGGAAAAGUUAACUAUGGAAUAUGCAAAGAGUGGUGUGUUGAAUGAAGAGGUUAGAAGAAAAUCUCAAGACACAUCUUCACAUUCAGAUGUUCUAUAUACAGAAGAUCGAGGGAGACAUAAGACAAGAGAUCCGAGGAGUAGAGGUAAAAGUAGAAGCAAGUCAAAAUUCAAGAAUCCAAAUAUUACAUGUUAUCAUUGUGGAAAUAAAGGACAUAUUAAAAGAUUCUGUAAACAAUUGAAGCAAGAUCUUAUAGAAGGGAAGAAGAAAGAAAACAAUUAAAAUAAUGUUGUUGCUGUUGUCCAUGAUGACCUUCUCUUCGCUUGUGAUAAAGACGUCAUCAAUUUUGUAUCUCAAGAUACAAGUUGGAUAGUAGUCUGGAGCCACAUCACAUGUCACACCAAGAAAAGACUUCUUUUCAUCUUAUACUUCUGUUAACUCUGAGGUGUGAAAGAUGGGUAAUGCUGGUGAAGUUAAGGUGUUUGGUGUUGACACUGUUUGUUUGAAAACCAAUAUUGGUUCAACGUUUGUCCUUCAAAAUGUCAAGCAUGCUCCAGACAUUCCAAUAAAUUUGAUCUCUGUAGGACAACUAGAUGCUGAUGACUAUCAUAAUGACUUGUGCAAUGGCCAAUGGAAGCUCACCAAAGGCUCAUUGAUUUUAGCUCGAGGAAGAAAACAUUCAAAUUUAUACGUGACACAAGGAUCGAUUCUUGGUGACUCUAUAAAUUUGGUGGAGAGCGAGACUUUAUCAGAAUUGUGGCACAAGAGGCUUAGUCAUAUGAGCGAGAGGGGGAUCACCUGUUUGGCUAAGAAGAAUUUGCUUGCUGGUAUGAAACAAGCAAAGGUGAAAAAAUGUGUCCCUUGCUUAGCAGGGAAAUAGAAAAGAGUUUCUUUUCACAGUCAUCCUCCUUCAAGAAAGUCUGAGCUAUUGGAGCUAGUACACUCAGAUUUGUGUGGUCCUUUCAAAGUGAAGUCAAAAGUUGGUGCACUUUACUUUGUUACUUUCAUUGAUUAUCAUUCUCGCAAGAUUUGGGUAUAUCCUUUAAAAUCCAAAGAUCAAGUGCUUGAUGUGUUUAAACAGUUUCAAGCCUUCUCUGAGAGACAAACGAGAAAAAAAUUAAAAUGUAUUCGCAUUGAUAAUGGAGGUGAGUAUAUUGGUCCCUUUGAUAACUACUGCAAAUUGCAAGGAAUUCGUCAUUAGAAGACUCCUCCAAAGACUACUCAAUUAAAUGGUUUGACAGAGAGGAUGAACAGAACUUUAGUUGAUAGAGUUAGAUGUGUGCUUUCAGAGGCUAAACUUCCAAAUUCUUUUUGGGCUGAAGCACUUAACACUGUUGCUUAUGUUAUCAAUUUGUCUCCUGUUAUUGCUUUGGAUGGUGAUGUUCCAACAGAGUUUGGUUUGAUAAGGAUGUUUCUUAUGAUCACUUGAAAGUGUUUGGGUGUAAAGCUUGUGUGCAUGUUCCAAAAGAUGAGAGGUCGAAAUUGGAUGUUAAAACUAAGCAAUUUAUCUUUAUUGGUUAUGGUCAAGAUGAGUUUGGAUAUCGCUUUUAUGAUCCAAUUGAUAAGAAACUCAUUAGAAGUCGUGAUGUUGUGUUCUUUGAUGAUCAAACUAUUGAAGAUAUUUACAAAACUGAGAAAGUAGAUUCUCAUACUGAUGAGAGCUUAGUUGAUGUUGAUCCAAUUCCUAUUAUUGACACAUCUUUUGCAAAUGAGGGAACCCAAGGUAAUGAUCAAGAUAAUGAUGAGAGUGUAGAACAUAUAUUUGUUCCUACUGAUGAUGUUGUGGUUGAUAAUCAACUAACUCAUGUUGGGAUGACCGCUUCGGAUGCUCCAGAAACCUUUUGUAGAAGAUCUACUAGAGAGUAGCGAAGCUCAAGACGUUAUUCUCAUGAUGAGUAUAUUCUAUUGACUAAUAUAGGAGAACCUGAAGGUUAUGAUGAAGUCAUGUUAGAUACUCAUAGAGAUAAGUGGAAAGAACUCAUCGUAGACGAUCAUGAGUUUUGUAGAAGUGUGGCAGACAGGAAGCCUGUCAAGAGAUCCUCCACUUGAAGUCCAUUUGGCCCCUUGGCUAGAGGGGGAGUUUGUUGGGCUAUUGCCCAAAGUACAGCCAAAGGCCCAUGGCCUAAUCCUACUUGGAAAAGGAUUGGAAUUAUUCUCUUUAUUUUGGUUUCCAAUUCUAUUAGGAAAAGGAUUGGAAUAGUAAUCCUAUUUGUAGUUGGUUUUGACUUAGUAAGGAAAAACAUAACUCUACAAAUAGAGGAUUGUACUGACAGAAUAAUUAAUUGCUCAUUGGUAUUGUCUUUGAAAGACAUUAGAACAUAAGAGGUUUUUGAGAGAACUUUCAACAAGAGAAAGAGAGAGAAAGAAAAGGGUUCUUUUGCUGUAGUCUUUUCUCCGACUAGUCACGUUUUGAUCGUGUUUCCCCAUUAACUAACCGUUAGAUCGGGCUGAAAUUUGGACUGAGUGUCCCUGACAUCCCGGUGGUUGAUUUGAACGGUGGAGAUCGGAUUCGGAGGUCAGAAAGAUCUUGUUUUAGGUCCCGAGCAGAAGCUGAGUUUGGGUGGUGUUUCUUUCUAUUUAUCUUUUGUUGGUGUAGCUAUUGUUUGUUCUCUUUUGGCACUUGUUGUGUAGCCAUUAGAAGAAUAUUUGCAACCCUGUUAUUGUUAUAGUGAAGCAAUUCGGAUUUUGUCGAUCCCGUGGUGUUAACCUUUGGUUUGAAGGGUUUUUCUACAUUAAACUUGGUGUUCUUUAUUGUUAGAUUUUCGGUUUCAUCUUUUCAUCACAAUAUUUCACUCCGUGCUCUUUUCUGGUUUAGCCACGAAGGCUCAAGCCACGUGUUUUCGAUUCAACCCGCAUAAAAGGCGAACAGUUUUGAAGUUGAAGAAUCUGAAGCAAGUCGGGAGAUUUUAAAAGGGUGAGUUAUGAAGGAUACAAAAGUGAUGAAAUUGUUUUUGGACAAACAAUUUCUUUUGUGAAUCUUCAAGUUCAUCGAAUAUCCUUUCGAUUUUGAUACAAGAUUGCCGAAAAGUUUGAGAUUCAAAAUUCAUCUCCAGUUCAUUCAAGAUCCUUUCAAAUUUUUAUUCAUAAUAUCGAAAAAUUUGAGGAGACACAUCAUGAAGAUCCUUCCAAAAUCAAGAGAAAAUAAGUUGUAAAGAUAUUUAAUUAGAAGGUUUGUCCAUAAUUGAGGGAAUUGGCAAAAAGAACGUCCGUGUCUUUUAAAGUUAAAGCAUGAAAAACCUCUAUUUAGUUACUUUGUUUCCUGUUAAGAAAUUUUGAAAAGAACCUAUGUAGCAAAAAACUCUUAUUUUUGCUGUAGACUUUGUUUUCUCAGUUUGUAGUCAUUGGAAAUAAUUAUUUCUUGACCA